rnacentral:lncRNA from 7 species
GUCGCCUCCAAGAUUCCACCCGCCAUUGUUGCCGAGAGUGGGACCUCGCCAGGAUUGGUGUGCCGCUCGAAUUGAGUAGGUCGGGGAGCUCCACUACGACUCGACGAGCGUGUCCACGGCCUUAUGUCAGGUUGGGUGCUCUUGUGCCCUUCUAAUUUCUCGUCGGAGCUCGGCUUGUGCAUAGAUCCGCCGUGAGACCUCCUGCGCCCAGUCUACCUUCCCUUUCGGGGUUCGUCGGGACGCCAUCCGUAUCGCGGGCAGAGCUACUCAACUGUGUGGCGGCCGGUGUAAUCGUUCCUCAUGUGUUCGCCUUGGGUCUAGCUUCGGGUUGCACGGGCUCCCUUCAAGGUUGUAGCAGUCGCACCCCGUGGGGACUUCCUCCGUCCAUGGCUUCGCUGCGGCGCAACUUGGUUAGUCGCCGGCGUUCAACCAGGAAGAGGAAGACGCGAUCUGGCUGUUGAUACGCUGAUGUGGGGCAAGGAUUAGAAAUUACCAUACCCCUUCGCUGAGUUCAUCUCGGUCGUGGAUUUCAAUCAGACGGCUCACAACUGAUUUAGGGUAGGUGAUUCCUUCACCGUCGAUCGUAGAUCCGACGUCUCACGUGGCACACUGGUUCGCUUCACUCUAGAUCUAAUCUGGGUCGUUGGAAUUUGAUCCAACAACAGGGAAACAGCCAUACCCCUUUGGCCCUGUAAAAUUGUAUAAGAGACCCUGGAUAAUUAUAGAAUCAACAAGCCAUCCACAUUCACUGU